AGAUGUGAGGGCGACCUGGCUGCGACAUCUGUCACCCCACUGAUCGCCAGGGUUGAUUCGGCUGAUCCGGCUGGCUAGGCGGGUGUCCCCUUCCUUCCUCCCUCACCGCUCCAUGCGCGUCCCUCCCGAAGCUGUGCGCUCGGUCGAAGAGGACGACCUUCCCCGAUAGAGACGUACCGUUCAUCGGUCAAGGGUAUACGGUAGCUGCGCUCCCCUGCUAGAACCUCCAAACAAGCUCAAGGUCCAUUUGUAGGAGAACGUAGGGUAGCCAAGCUUCCAAGACUGCAGACACAUCCAAGUGAGGCACUACAUGGGCAAGUCUGCCAUUGGGGUUU
rnacentral:snRNA from 1 species